CACAUUCACCAGCUUCCACUUCAAGUGGAUCCUGCUCCUGACUAUCUUGCUGAGAGGAGCCCGCCCAGUGUGUCAUCUGCAAGCUCGGGGUCUGGCUCCAGCUCUCCCAUCACAAUUCAGCAGCACCCCAGGCUCAUCCUCACAGACAGUGGCUCGGCACCAACUUUUUGUAGUGAUGAUGAAGAUGUUGCACCAUUGUCAGCCAAAUUUGCUGAUAUUUAUCCAUUGAGUAAUUAUGAUGAUACUGAGGUGGUGGCCAACAUGAAUGGAAUCCACAGCGAAUUGAAUGGUGGUGGGGAAAACAUGGCCCUGAAGGAUGAGGUAUGGACAUGGCUUCUUCGUAGCAACAAUAAAUGACAUAAAAUGAUGGUCUGACAUUUUAAUUUUUUAUAUUACUCUGUUUUGAAAAGUGCAAAUUACAAAAGAUUGUCUUUAAAGUCUCCUCAGAUAAGCAGUACCAGCAGUAGUUCCUCAGAAGCUGAUGAUGAAGAAGCGGACGGCGAGAGUAGUGGGGAGCCCCCAGGGGCCCCGAA
rnacentral:sRNA from 1 species